rnacentral:tRNA from 1 species
CGGAGCGUGGCGCAGUCCGGUAGCGCACCUGCUUUGGGAGCAGGGGGUCGGGAGUUCAAAUCUCCCCGCUCCGACCC